rnacentral:rRNA from 1 species
CCUACGGGUGGCAGCAGUGAGGAAUAUUGCUCAAUGGGCGCGAGCCUGAACCAGCCAAGUAGCGUGAAUGAUGACGGCCCUACGGGUUGUAAACUUCUUUUAUAAAGGAAUAAAGUGAGGCACGUGUGCAUUUUUGUAUGUACUUUAUGAAUAAGGAUCGGCUAAAUCCGUGCCAGCAGCCGCGGUAAUACGGAGGGUCCGAGCGUUAUCCGGAUUUAUUGGGUUUAAAGGGUGCGUAGGUGGGUGGUUAAGUCAGUUGUGAAAGUUUGCGGCUCAACCGUGAAAUUGCAAUUGAUACUGGCAGCCUUGAGUACAGGUGAGGUAGGCGGAAUUCGUGGUGUAGCGGUGAAAUGCUUAGAUAUCACGAAGAACUCCGAUUGCGAAGGCAGCUUACUAGACUGCAACUGACAUUGAUGCUCGAAAGUGUGGGUAUCAAACAGGAUUAGAUACCCGAGUAGUC